UACGAAGGGGGCUAGCGUUGCUCGGAAUCACUGGGCGUAAAGCGCACGUAGGCGGACUCUUAAGUCAGGGGUGAAAUCCCGGGGCUCAACCCCGGAAGUGCAUCGGAUACUGGGAGGCUGGAGUACCGGAGAGGAGGGUGGAAUUCCUGGUGUAGCGGUGAAAUGCGUAGAUAUCAGGAGGAACACCGGUGGCGAAGGCGGCCCUCUGGACGGAUACUGACGCUGAGACGCGAAAGUGUGGGGAGCAAACAGG
rnacentral:rRNA from 1 species